rnacentral:lncRNA from 1 species
UACGUUUGGUUUAAAUUCAAGAUAUAAUACUAUUACUAGAGAUGUCCCAUUGGAAAUGAAACCGGUAUGUUUUCCGAAAUUCGGUACAGUAAACUGGUAAAAAAAUAUGACAAUAUUUCAAUAAUUAUAAUUUCUUAUUACAUAUCUAUUCAUAUUUUUUAUUACAAUUGAGAAUUUUAUUACCCAAUAAAAUCGCUCACGAUUAAAAGGUACACAUGCUCAUUUUACAGUAUGCACCUAUUUUAUUAAUUAAAUCAAUAAAUUAACAAUUCAAAUUAAAUGGGAUAAAUAUUGCUACGAACACGCCGCAAACACCUUUCAUUCGGAACAAUUUUUUCCCUUUGUUCGAUAAAUUAACCACAUUUCGUGCAUUUCGAUGGUAAAUCGUAAUUUCUUUUUACUGCGUUCUUCAUACUACAUUCAGCUUUCUCUGCAUGUAUUGAGUUUGCAUUAUCUUCAUAAUUGUGAGCUCCGAAUUUCAAAACUGAAGUUAUUUCGUCGUUAAUUGUGUUUCGUUAUAUUAUACGCUUUUGUGAACCUAGCGGUUUCCUAAUUGAACUUUUUUUUUUGCUUGCAGUAUAACAGACUGUUGUAAAUUUAUUUAUUUUUAUUCCGUUUUGUAAUUAAAAACUUCACAUUCGAACUUAAGUACGUACUAUAUUACAAAAUAUUGCUUUGUAUAGUGUGUGGAGAAUAUAGAAAUUCAACUCAGCACGUAUCGUCCUGUCUGACUGUCUAGUACAAUCGUAAUAUUAUCAAAUAUUUAUUACCUACAUAAUAUGUAUAGAUUCGUUUUUAUAACGUACUAUAACCAAACUCAAACGUCCUGUGACUAAUAAAUCCCGGGGAUCAAACGUCCAAUCUUGAUAUAAUUACCAGGGGCAAAACGUCCGUAAACUGAAUUAUUUGACGGGGACGGGAAUUCUUAGAAUCGAAAUAACUACAUGCCUACCUACCUACUACCUACUAUCCACUUACCUACCUACCUAAUUAUACUAUAACUACUAUAACAGAGUCGAUAAUGUACGUGGUCAUUUGACACAAACGUUAACGGCGAUAAAAAAAAAAAAAAUAAUUAAAAAUACUUAUUGUGGACCAAUAAAAUCAAUAGUAGGUAUAGUAGUAAACAAACGAAAAAAUCGCUAUAUUAAAAUAUAACACAACGCGUGUAAAUUUAAUGAACAAUCGAAUAAGUGUGAAAUAAGAAGUAUAUAAAAUAUAUACAUCGAAACGAAUACCUAAUAUUCACCGCAUUCAAAUUGCGUCUAAAAACGAUAUAUUGUGUCCGAGUUUCGUUCGCGAUUUCCUCACGACACAUCUGAAUUGCGUCCGCAGCCUCUCAACGGCAGGUCCGAGUUGAGCCCGCGAUUUCUCACGGCUGUUCUCCUAGUUGCGUCAUCGUUAAUAAUUGAGAAGUUAUAUUGUAUAUGUAUUAUCUUUCCCACUUUUACAGUACGAACACUGUCGUCUAUACAAAUGUCGUUGUUAAAAAUAUGUAAAUUAAUUAGGCAAUGUAAAUUAUAACAUUUAGGUAUAUAAAAGGUUUGAAAACGACCACCACUGAACAUUAACGUUUACACGUUUGUAAAAAGCAAAUUUGUUUUCAUUAAUAGUACAACAUAAUUGUUUAUUUUAGAUUCUGAACGGAGCGAGGUAUGUAUUGAUAUUUUUUUUUUUUUCGUGAACAACUUUUCUAUCGGAAAUUUUGUUUCGAUUUUCAAGUGUUGUGUCUUUUCUAAACGGAAAUUUGACUUGAGUGGUACUUCGAGGAGGUCGUUUGAUUUUCCCAGGGGUUUGUUGUUUUCAUUAUUAUAUUGUUGCAAAGUUAAAAUUUAAAAAUAUCAGGUAUACAUUUAAGCGAUAGAAGCCACCCUCACAAUGUAACCGACGUUAACAAUUUAACAUACAGAAAAAAUAUACAAGUAAUAUGGGUAAAGAUAUGGGUGACCCAUUGUUGGCCAAUGUGUCACAUCAAAAAGCACUAUACAGACAAUGAACUGAAAUAUUGGUAAUAAAUCCACGUGAAAGAUUCAUUAAAUCAG